rnacentral:piRNA from 1 species
UAUCAGGGCAUCCAUAAGCUCAAUGUUGAUGU